ACCGUCUAGAAGCCACCAGUCGUUUUUGGCUGUGGUGUUGGGAACAGCUUCCACAGUCAGACUGGAGAUAAGUGGUGACACUGAGGAUAUCUGGUUCCACCUAAUGACGAUAAGGCGGAUUUUUGUUCCUCAACAUUCUGGUAGACGGAGCCUGUACGAAAAGUGAGUGUAAGCUUCUUUCGCAGUGGCCGGCUUUCUCCAUUCGGCUCUGCAACAAGGGGUCUCAGUUAAGAGUUUGUCAGCGAAACGUUAGCGCUCUUAAACUGUAAAGUUGUUUCGCUGUGUAGCUAAGCUAGACAGAUGAAGAUAAACAAGCCUCAAGAGGAGCUACGCGCAUUUGUCUUCGAGUAUAGCUUUAAGUUAGGCUUAGCUGAGGCCCCCAUUCUGUUCGUCACAGAGCAACGGUCCCUGUCGUGGCUGACGCAGUUGAGCUUUGACGAACGGAAUGUUUUCUUUUUCGUGCGUCAACUGAAGAGGAACUUCGCGUUUCAGUUCGUAAGCCAAAUGGGCGUUACGACAAAGGUAAGAUGUAAGCCUCUGCGUCCACCUUCGAUUCCAAUUCCAUCGUGGUGAGGGCUAGCUUACGGACGCGCUGCUAGGUGCCGGGAAAUUUAACACCUGUUCGGGUUUGUUUGUAACUCGGUCACUUUCGUUAAUAAAAUGGUGUUCCUUUGUCUGUUUCUUUACUCAUCUGCCCCCCACCCCUUGACGCAAACAUUCACUAGCUUCUUGGUUGAGGCAGGUACAUUUUGGCUGUCCUCGUUGCCUCAUUGUCAUUUUGCUUUGUCAUUUUAGAUUUUGUCUUGUACUUGACCGCCAUCGCAAUAAAACCUUGCUUCCUUAUCUUGACUUUGUCGUUCAUCAAUCCCUGAUACGCAAACAUGCACUAGCUUACGGGGUUGAGGUAGGUACAUUUUGACUACCCCCCCCCCCUUUUCCCUUGCAGAAUCUGCAGUCUGCUGCAGCGCAGCCUCGUUUCCCUGGUUCGUGGAAGGAGUUCGUCCUGCAAUGACCUCCAUCAGAACUUCGUGAAGUAUCUUUCACCUUAUUCUGUUGACUAUACUGGCUAAUUCUUUCCGUCUUUCUGCAGGGCGACAACGCAGAGCCCUUUCAGCAGCAACCCCACGAACUGUUCCCUACGUGGUGAAGACGCGAAUGAAGAAUCUUGGAGCCUUCUUUUGUACUGUUUCCUCUGUUAUUCCUUGUUACAAAAUAAACGUGUUCUCAUUUU